UGCUUCGUGGCGCGGAAAGUGGCCGGUGUUUGUGUGCGCACCCGACUGGCUUGCCUGCCCGUGGGGCUUUGUCCUGCACCCAUUUGAACAUCUGUGGCGCGUUACUACGGCCGCCUGUGCCGGAGUUGUGCUAGGGAGCCUUUGCUUGUUUCGGGCUGCUGCAGGUUUUUCCAUCUUUUCAUCGACGGACCGCCAAGCCUCUGUGCUGGGCGGUGUUGCGGGUUUCGUUUUUUAUUUCUUCUAGCGCCCCUGAUUUCUGGUGGAUACCCCUCUCAACGACCGCACUAUCCCACAGGCGCCUCUCGACGACGUAGGGACCCUUGAAGGGCGGUGGCGACUGCGGGCUGACACUCACUCAACGUGCCGACACACACGCUCCCACAAAGGCGCUACUUGGCUUGUGAUUGCGCAUCCCGCAGUACCGGUCAGUCGCGUCUUUACCUGAGGUAUCGGCGACCUCCUCGCCGGCACCUGUUUUAGGUUUAUAGUUUUCUAGGUUGGCUGUCUUCUCCCUCUCCGUCUCCGUUUCCUCACAUACUCGCCUUGCUCUCCUCCGCGGCGCGCUCGUUGAGGAGGUGGCGGUUUAUGAUUGUGGCUGCGGCUGAUUGGCGAAUCCUCGUGCUUUCUGUCGCACUGCCCUCCCCCCUCCACCUGAUGCGUCUGUGACGAUGUCGCUGUUGCAGAAGAAUGCCGUUCUGAAGAAGUACCGCCGCGAAUACCGCGAGCAGGAUGUAGCACGGUCAUCUUCCAAGGACGAGGGGCAGACGGAGGAAGGCGGUGAUGACGACACUGCUGUAUAUCCGAAUGUGGAUGCGUUCCAAGUUCUCGGCUCGAUUGCCGGAGGAGCGCUAGCGUCGCCUUCGCCCUCGCCAAGGCUCAUGCGCUGCGAGGAAAACACACAGAUGCCAGCGAUCGGGGCGCCGAGCGUGAAAUGCUGGAGCUCUGGUGUAUCUUCAGGCUUCCACGGUACCACAGCUGCCUUUGAAAGCAUGCACAACAACGCCACGGCGACAGCGACCGCGGGCCCAUCAACCGUUUCCACCAUUCGAUCUCCGUUCCCCCAUGAAGACGGCGGCAACGAGGCGAAUCACGCUGCGCCGACGAGGCCAUCGUGGCCACGCAGCCAUACGGUCCGCGCAGGAGCGGGGGCUGAGGACAAGUAUUUUGACUUGGACAAUUUUACGGCACCUCUCGGCCCGCUUCCGUUGCCGCCUCCGCCGGCAGAUGGCGCACCGCCCGCACUGGCGCCACUAGGCAGGCGAGGCGCCGGCAGCACCGGCCCCCGCUGUUGGAUUAGUUGGAGCGACCUGUCCGGCGAAGAAGACCGCGCCACUGCUGACACCCAUUCGCAGUCGGCACCCACUGAUCCGUCCGUCUCGCCGACAACCGUGACGAUCGGCGGCGAGGCGUUCAUGAGCGUCACAGAUGUGCCCGAGGCAGCUCGAUCGAAUCACGUCGCACGCGCGACUGCUACAAGUGGUCUUGUUCCUUCUGUCGGUGAGUCCUGCGGCCCGGCGAGCAGCGUCGGUGGGUUGUCAUCGCUUGCUUUAGCAGCGAGUAAGCCGAGGACACCCACGGGAGGCGGCGCACAUGUCAGAAGCUCACCACAAGUGUUGACAGCGGUGCAGCAACCGAUUGAGGUGCUCACUCGGGUGCACAAAGAUCCUUCAGAAGAGGUUAGCUCGUCCUCUUCGUCCCCUUCGUCGUCCUUCACUGUCACGGAGCUCGAGGGCGAUUGCGGCGACGCCGACGGCAAGCCUACCACGCUGCGCGAGGAGGCUGUGAGGCAGCUCGAUCUCGCGUACGCGAGCGAGACAUGCGAGCCACAUCCUGUGGAAGGAUGUAAGAACAGUGCCGCAUCUGCGGCGAUGCGACUCGACGUAUCCGACACGCUGCUGCAGCCGCCGACGAGCAUCCUAUCAGAGCCGUCAACGACGACAGUUCACACGAAGGACAAGUCUGCCAUGUCUUAUCGCAGUAGCGGGGGCGCCGCGGCGAAUGGCUCCGUGGGUAGCCGGCGCGUCGUCUACGCAGCUGAAGGCGCCGACGCCAGCGACGAGGGUGCCUUCUCUCCAGUAAGUGGGAUGGACGAUAAUGAGCGAGCGUCCUAUGCUGGCAUGGCGGACGACCGUAACAUACCUUACGCCGAUAAUCGAGGCGCCGUUUUCAUGCAGCAGGUACUCUCGUUCUCAGGAACUAAUCACUCGCUGCCGCGGAUCUGGGACGACGAGGACGUCGAUGUAGAUCCUCUGACAACUGAUUCGAUGCGGCUUCCUGCGCGCGCGCUGCCGCCCAUCACGUUCUACGAAGCAUAUCUGGAUCUGACGAAGGCGAUCCGAAGAGGCGACGCGAAAGGGGCGUGCGAAGCUGAGGAGAGGACGGCGGACAGAGCUUGUUCUUCUUCAAUCGUGUUACCGCAGGCCCCGCCGCCGGUGAUGGCACUGCCGACGCUGAAGAAAGCGGUCCGUGCCGCCAUCUUUUGGUGCUGCGGCGGCAGCGCUAGUCGCGCGUCGACAGUCGCAAAGCAGCUGCAGCCGAGUACGGCGGCUUGUAGUGGGCCUAAUCGUGACGAGCUCAGCGGCGUGGCGCCUGUGGACGAGACGGCUUCCGCACCUGGGGGACCAGAAGAGCAUCUGCGUGUUAUACGCGCUCUGAAGUCUCAGUCAGUUUCGUUGCAGCUCACCACGCAUCGCCGUAUGCUGCUCACUGUCUUCAAUACUCUCACGGGCAAGAUUCCGUGGCCGAGUAGGAACGUGAAUUCAUCCGAAUCUACCCCAGUCACCUCCUCGCCGCCGUCGUCGUCCACGGCCGUCAAGUGGGAGUCAAUCGGAUUUCAAGGGUCCAACCCUGCCACCGAUGUUCGGGCAACGGGUGUCCUCGGCGUGCUUCAGUUGUUGUACCUCAUCGACUACUACCCUGCGUUCGCGCAACGGCUGUGGCAACUGUGCCGCAACCCAGCCGACGAAGGGGCCUCUCACUCCCCGUCUCAUAAUCAUCGCGGCGGCGAGGCACUGGUGGCCGCGAAAAGAGGCAGAGUUUCGAAUGAGCUGCCGUUUGUUCUGGUUUGCUUCAACUUCACGGCGCUGGUGCUGGACGCAGCUGGACAGCACAUUCUUGACGAGGAGGUGCAAAAGACGGCGAACGGCAAGCGCCCCUCUCCCACAUCACAUGAGGCCGCCGCUAAAACGACGGAGCCUGCGGCGCAUCCUUCUUCGUACGCUGGCAUGCAUGUCUGCUGCGAGUGUUAUGUCGGAGCGCUGGCGCUGUUUGCAGAAGCGUGGAGGUCGCGGCCAAAAGGCGGACCCACAGGCGACGGUAGUAUGACGAAGUCCACAGUGCCGGCGAACCGACCUAGCAUUGCCGAUUUUGGCGACAUCAAGGCGCGGCUGCGGGGAAAGCUCUUGAGGAAGGGUGCUGCGAAGAUAAUGCGGGAGGCCGCAUGCCAAGUCCGUGGGCCCGCUGAGCAGCAGGAGUAGGGAGGAGACAGGGAUGUGGGAGGGAAGAAGCUGAGCCGCGUACAACGCAGAAAGCAAGGUGGGGGGGGGGCAUGCCAUCUCAAAAAGGUACAUCGUCCUCCCACUAAACACACACACACACGCCUACUGCCUUUCUCCUCUUUUUGCUUGUUUUGGCCUGCCCUGCACGUACUCGUUCGGGCAGACUCUUCCCAGACUCUCGCCACCUUCCUCAAAAACGCGUGAACGGCUGCCCACCUCUGUGCACAGGACUCUGCGCACUUCUUUGCUUUUCUUACACGUAUUUUUUCUUUGGCCUUUCCCGGCCUCUCAACCCGAUGACGGGGGGCGACACCUCAGUGCGUGGUGUCGCAGGGUCCAGCGCCCCCACGCAUUGCGUGCGGAAAAAGCCAAGCAGCCCCUCGCCCCUAUCCCCUGCCACUGCGGAGCCGCCUCUGGUGGUGGCCCAGCCAAGCGCCUACGGCGUAGCGGAGCCACAGCAAUGCAUCCCCGCUGAUGCCGGGCGGCCAUGUCCUGGUGAGCGUGGCGUCGCCGCGCCCUGCGGUCAGCGAACGCGUCCGUGCCGUUCAUGUGAUGGGCGGAGUGUGGAGGUGGCUCGAAAGGCAUCGCGCCCCCGCCCUCACACUGCCCACUGGUGUGGGGGUGCCCGAGCCCGGCCCCGUGGCGGGUGCACCGGGUGGCGACCGGCGCAACGGCCGCUGCUGUGUGAGUGUGUGUGUGUGUGAGCACUGUUCGACGCAGCGGCGGUGCCCGGGUGACUGGGUCGGCGCACGGCUGCAGGGCUUGCCCUACCGCUGCAUCUCCCCAUGCGCUGUGCCUGUGACCGGCCGAGGGCGGGGGGGUUGAAUGUAGGCUGAACACCUUGCUGUAUGGCAGGGAAUGCAGACGGUGGCAGGCAACAAAAAAAAAACACCAUACAGCAGCUUAUCAUUUUUAUCAUCACUCUCGUUUCCGAAAAGAAAAGAAUGCCCGUUCCGUUAAGUUGUCUCAUGCUCAGCACCAUCUCCACUUUUAUUUUUGUGUUUUGCUCGGGCGAAUUUUCUUAUCCCUCUCCAUCAAUCGUGUGCGUGUGGGGUUGUAGUCUAUGCGAUCACGAUACUGCUUUGCUAUGUUGCUUUUCAUUACGCCCCUUACUUCCAUUUCGAAACUAGAAGGCGACAGCCAACCUUGAAAAAAAAAUAUAUAUAUAACAACCUCUCCCUAUCUCUGUGCUAGUCUCAUCCUUGGGUGGGAGGGUCUCAGUGCUGUGGUGGAACUCGGCUACUACAGGGGAGUGAUGCCUCUCAGUGCUUGGUUUGCUUGUGUUUGGUUGUCAAGACCCACUCUCUUUGGCCGCGUUGCGAUUGCUUUUUUUUUUCUUCUCGCUUUCGUUCUCCUCGGUUGCCGUUUUUACGCGUUGUUUUUCU
rnacentral:misc_RNA from 1 species